GACAGAGGAUGCAAGCGUUAUCCGGAAUGAUUGGGCGUAAAGCGUCUGUAGGUGGCUUUUUAAGUCCGCCGUCAAAUCCCAGGGCUCAACCCUGGACAGGCGGUGGAAACUACCAAGCUGGAGUACGGUAGGGGCAGAGGGAAUUUCCGGUGGAGCGGUGAAAUGCGUAGAGAUCGGGAGGAACACCUGUGGCGAAGGCGGCCGGGCUGGGGGUGCCCUGACGCUGAGGCGCGAAAGGCGUGGGGAGCGAACCGG
rnacentral:rRNA from 1 species